rnacentral:lncRNA from 1 species
UUAAUUUUAUGUGUCUGUUUCCAUCCUCCUCUAACACCUUCCUUCCUUGAGGUUAAGCCGCAGAAUGGGCUUAAUGAGCUGGUUGGGUCAUCAGUUAUCAACUUAAGAUAAAUGGCAGUUGGGGGAAGGUGGGGGAAGGGGGUCCCAUCCCUGAAGUCCCAGUGCCUGGCUCAGUCAGCCAACCACCCCACUUCAUCAAGAGCAAAGGAAGGCUGUGGGUGGUUUUCAUAUCAAGACAGCAAAGCAGCAUGUUAAGAGCUCCCCCAGAAUCGUGCAGAAACCCCAAGUGUUCUUUCCAGCUCUGUCUGGUUCUGGGCUGAGCGGCUCAGACCAUGCCGUUAGCUCCUCUGGAUCUGUCUUCUGAGAAAUGAGACCUAAUAGACGUGGCCUUCUGCAGAAAAGUUCUGUAGCUGACUUUCUGACAAGCCACGGGCAAGAAGGCAGAGGAUAAUUAAUUACGACCACCGUGCAAGCCUCCAAAGAAAGGUAAGGCCCCUGUGGCUGCUCCAUCUGACGUAUCAGGAAACUGAGGCACAGAAUGAGGAGGGGCUCCGCCCUCAGGUCGACGUGCCCGCCAUCAGGACCGCACAAACACAGGAAAGCGCUCACAUCUCAGGUCUUCUCUUGAAGCUCAGCGGUGCCCCCACCACUUUCUCCGCGACCACAUGCCCACAUAGAAAUCAUUUUGGUUGUUUGGUGUUAAUCAAAAUUGACAGGCAUGCAAAUCACAGCCCAAGAUUCUAGUCCUUUGAAAUUGCUUUAUUAAUCACUGUAUUUGUGAAGGCUCAGAGAAAAAUCUCAGUGGUAAUAUUCUAAGAGCCUUUGACAAGCUCAGAGUUGUCCUUAAUGAUACAGAAGACAGACAGUGGUCAAGUCACUCAGUGAUGGUUCUCUGAGAAUGACCGUUUGGGUUUUUUUCUUUCCACGCAGUUGCCAGGGUUUUUGUGUUCAGGCUGGUAGAUGUCACUCGGCUUUAUGAAAUGGGUGUGAUUCGGCACAGCUGUGGUUCUUUGUCC